rnacentral:piRNA from 1 species
UCAUGAGGUUUAACCAAGAUCAGUGGGUGU